UACGAGGGGUGCAAGCGUUGCUCGGAAUUAUUGGGCGUAAAGGGUAGGUAGGUGGUCUCAUUUGUCUCAUGUGAAAUCCUUGGGCUUAACUCAAGAAGUGCGUGAGAAACGGUGAGACUGGAGUCUUGGAGAGGUAAGUGGAAUUCCGAGUGUAGAGGUGAAAUUCGUAGAUAUUCGGAAGAACACCAGUGGCGAAGGCGACUUACUGGACACAUAUUGACGCUGAGGUGCGAAAGCGUGGGGAGCAAACAGG
rnacentral:rRNA from 1 species